AGAGUUUGAUCAUGGCUCAGCCUGAACGCUGGCGGCGUGGCUAAGACAUGCAAGUCGCACGGGGUAGCAAUACCCAGUGGCGAACGGGUGAGUAAUGAAUCGCUAAUGUGCCCCGGACUCUGAGAUAGCUGCCCGAAAGGGCAGGUAAUAUCAGAUGAUAUAACCGAACCGCAUGGUUUGGUUCUCAAAGGUCCGCCGGUCUGGGAGCAGGCGAUUUCGUAUCAGCUAGUUGGUGAGGUAACGGCUCACCAAGGCGACGACGCGUAGCCGGACUGAGAGGUUGGCCGGCCACAUUGGGACUGAGACACUGCCCAGACUCCUACGGGGGGCUGCAGUAACGAAUCUUCCGCAAUGCACGAAAGUGUGACGGAGCGACGCCGCGUGUGGGACGAAGCCCUUCGGGGUGUAAACCACUGUCAGGGGUUACCAAGUUCUGAGGAGCCCCAGAGGAAGGGACGGCUAACUCUGUGCCAGCAGCCGCGGUAAGACAGAGGUCCCGAGCGUUAGGCGGAAUCACUGGGCUUAAAGCGUGUGUAGGCGGAGUUCUAAGUACCUUGUGAAAUCCCACGGCUUAACCGUGGAACUGCUUGGUAUACUGGUUCUCUUGGGCCACUUAGGGGCUACUGGAACAAACGGUGGAGCGGUGAAAUGCGUAGAUAUCGUUUGGAACGCCAAUGGUGAAAACAAGUAGCUGGGAGUGUGCCGACGCUGAGACACGAAAGCCAGGGGAGCGAACGGGAUUAGAUACCCCAGUAGUCC
rnacentral:rRNA from 1 species